rnacentral:rRNA from 1 species
CCUACGGGCGGCAGCAGUGGGGAAUAUUGCACAAUGGGGGAAACCCUGAUGCAGCAACGCCGCGUGAGUGAAGACGUAUCUCGGUGUGUAAAACUCUAUCAGCAGGGGAGAAGAAAGACGGUACCUGACUAAGAAGCCCCGGCUAACUACGUGCCAGCAGCCGCGGUAAUACGUAGGGGGCAAGCGUUAUCCGGAUUUACUGGGUGUAAAGGGAGCGUAGACGGCUGUGCAAGUCUGAAGUGAAAGCCCGGGGCUCAACCGCGGAACUGCUUUUGAAACUGUAUAGCUUGAGUACAGGAGAGGCAGGCGGAAUUCGUAGUGUAGCGGUGAAAUGCGUAGAUAUUAGGAGGAACACCAGUGGCGAAGGCGGCCUGCCGGACAGAAACUGACGUUGAGGCUCGAAAGCGUGGGGAGCAAACAGGAUUAGAUACCCUAGUAGUC